CCUGCGUCAGGAGUGAACGCUGCGGCGUGCUACACAUGCAAGUCGAACGGGGCGACCAUUUUGUAAGACGAUUAGCUUGCUAAGAGUGGAAAGUGUUGGCGGCGUUAGUGGCGGACGGGUGAGUAACGCGUGGGUAACCUGCCAUAUACAGGGGAGUAACACUUAGAAAUAGGUGCUAUACCGCAUAAGCGCACGGAGCUGCAUGGCUCAGUGUGAAAAACUCCGGUGGUAUAUGAUGGACCCGCGUCUGAUUAGCUUGUUGGCGGGGUAACGGCCCACCAAGGCGACGAUCAGUAGCCGGCCUGAGAGGGUGGACGGCCACAUUGGGACUGAGACACGGCCCAAACUCCUACGGGAGGCAGCAGUGGGGAAUAUUGGACAAUGGGGGGAACCCUGAUCCAGCGACGCCGCGUGAGUGAAGAAGUAUCUCGGUAUGUAAAGCUCUAUCAGCAGGGAAGAAAGAAAUAACGGUACCUGACCAAGAAGCCCCGGCUAACUACGUG
rnacentral:rRNA from 1 species